ACGAACGCUGGCGGCGCGCCUAACACAUGCAAGUCGAACGGAGCUUAGAGAGCUUGCUUUUUAAGCUUAGUGGCGAACGGGUGAGUAACGCGUGAGUAACCUGCCCUAGAGUGGGGGACAACAGUUGGAAACGACUGCUAAUACCGCAUAAGCCCACGGUACCGCAUGGUACUGAGGGAAAAGGAUUUAUUCGCUUUAGGAUGGACUCGCGUCCAAUUAGCUAGUUGGUGAGGUAACGGCCCACCAAGGCGACGAUUGGUAGCCGGACUGAGAGGUUGAACGGCCACAUUGGGACUGAGACACGGCCCAGACUCCUACGGGAGGCAGCAGUGGGGGAUAUUGCACAAUGGGGGAAACCCUGAUGCAGCGACGCCGCGUGGAGGAAGAAGGUUUUCGGAUUGUAAACUCCUGUCGUUAGGGACGAUAAUGACGGUACCUAACAAGAAAGCACCGGCUAACUACGUGCCAGCAGCCGCGGUAAAACGUAGGGUGCAAGCGUUGUCCGGAAUUACUGGGUGUAAAGGGAGCGCAGGCGGGAAGACAAGUUGGAAGUGAAAACCAUGGGCUCAACCCAUGAAUUGCUUUCAAAACUGUUUUUCUUGAGUAGUGCAGAGGUAGAUGGAAUUCCCGGUGUAGCGGUGGAAUGCGUAGAUAUCGGGAGGAACACCAGUGGCGAAGGCGGUCUACUGGGCACCAACUGACGCUGAGGCUCGAAAGCAUGGGUAGCAAACAGGAUUAGAUACCCUGGUAGUCCAUGCCGUAAACGAUGAUUACUAGGUGUUGGGGGAUUGACCCCCUCAGUGCCGCAGUUAACACAAUAAGUAAUCCACCUGGGGAGUACGACCGCAAGGUUGAAACUCAAAGGAAUUGACGGGGGCCCGCACAAGCAGUGGAGUAUGUGGUUUAAUUCGAAGCAACGCGAAGAACCUUACCAGGUCUUGACAUCCGAUGCAUAGCACAGAGAUGUGUGAAAUCCUUCGGGACAUCGAGACAGGUGGUGCAUGGUUGUCGUCAGCUCGUGUCGUGAGAUGUUGGGUUAAGUCCCGCAACGAGCGCAACCCUUAUUGCCAGUUACUACGUUAAGAGGACUCUGGCGAGACUGCCGUUGACAAAACGGAGGAAGGUGGGGAUGACGUCAAGUCAUCAUGGCCCUUACGACCAGGGCUACACACGUGCUACAAUGGCGCAUACAAAGAGAAGCGACCUCGCGAGAGCAAGCGGACCUCAUAAAGUGCGUCGUAGUCCGGAUUGGAGUCUGCAACUCGACUCCAUGAAGUCGGAAUCGCUAGUAAUCGUGGAUCAGAAUGCCACGGUGAAUACGUUCCCGGGCCUUGUACACACCGCCCGUCACACCAUGGGAGUCAGUAACGCCCGAAGUCAGUGACCCAACCGUAAGGAGGGAGCUGCCGAAGGCGGGACCGAUAACUGGGGUG
rnacentral:rRNA from 1 species